rnacentral:rRNA from 1 species
CGCAAGGCGUGGCAUACGGCUCAGUAACACGUAGUCAACAUGCCCAAAGGACGUGGAUAACCUCGGGAAACUGAGGAUAAACCGCGAUAGGCCAGGGUUUCUGGAAUGAGCCAUGGCCGAAAUCUAUAUGGCCUUUGGAUUGGACUGCGGCCGAUCAGGCUGUUGGUGAGGUAAUGGCCCACCAAACCUGUAACCGGUACGGGCUUUGAGAGAAGUAGCCCGGAGAUGGGCACUGAGACAAGGGCCCAGGCCCUAUGGGGCGCAGCAGGCGCGAAACCUCUGCAAUAGGCGAAAGCCUGACAGGGUUACUCUGAGUGAUGCCCGCUAAGGGCAUCUUUUGGCACCUCUAAAAAUGGUGCAGAAUAAGGGGUGGGCAAGUCUGGUGUCAGCCGCCGCGGUAAUACCAGCACCCCGAGUUGUCGGGACGAUUAUUGGGCCUAAAGCAUCCGUAGCCGGUUCUAUAAGUCCUCCGUUAAAUCCACCUGCUCAACAGAUGGGCUGCGGGGGAUACUACGGAGCUAGGAGGCGGGAGAGGCAAACGGUACUCAGUGGGUAGGGGUAAAAUCCAUUGAUCUACUGAAGACCACCAGUGGCGAAGGCGGUUUGCCAGAACGCGCUCGACGGUGAGGGAUGAAAGCUGGGGGAGCAAACCGGAUUAGAUACCCGGGUAGUCCCAGCUGUAAACGAUGCAGACUCGGUGAUGGGUUGGCUUCGCGCCAACCCAGUGCCGCAGGGAAGCCGUUAAGUCUGCCGCCUGGGGAGUACGGUCGCAAGACUGAAACUUAAAGGAAUUGGCGGGGGAGCACCACAAGGGGUGAAGCCUGCGGUUCAAUUGGAUUCAACGCCGGA